rnacentral:rRNA from 1 species
AGUAACACGUGGGUAACCUGCCUUAUAGUGGGGGAUAGCCUUUCGAAAGGAAGAUUAAUACCGCAUAAGAUUGUAGUAUCGCAUGAUAUAGCAAUUAAAGGAGCAAUUCGCUAUAAGAUGGACCCGCGUCGCAUUAGCCAGUUGGUGAGGUAAUGGCUCACCAAGGCGACGAUGCGUAGCCGACCUGAGAGGGUGAACGGCCACAUUGGGACUGAGACACGGCCCAGACUCCUACGGGAGGCAGCAUG